rnacentral:rRNA from 1 species
GUGAGGAAUUUUGCGCAAUGGCCGCAAGGCUGACGCAGCAACGCCGCGUGGGUGAUGGAGGCCUUCGGGUCGUAAAGCCCUGUCAGGUGGGAAGAAAGGCCUGGAGAGGAAAGGCUUCAGGUUUGACGGUACCACCAGAGGAAGCACCGGCUAACUCCGUGCCAGCAGCCGCGGUAAUACGGAGGGUGCGAGCGUUAUUCGGAAUUACUGGGCGUAAAGCGCGUGUAGGCGGGGGGACAAGUCUGAUGUGAAAGCCCUGGGCUUAACCUGGGAAGCGCAUUGGAAACUGUUUUUCUUGAGUACUGGAGAGGAAGGGGGAAUUCCCGGUGUAGAGGUGAAAUUCGUAGAGAUCGGGAGGAAUACCAGUGGCGUAGGCGCCCUUCUGGACGGUAACUGACGCUGAGACGCGAAAGCGUGGGGAGCAAACAGGAUUAGAAACCCGGGUAGUCC